CCUAAAUUCCAGCAGGUUUUUUCAUUAAAACCCAGCUCUAAACCAGCCCCCAAAUACGAUGAAACUCACAAGCUUCGAUUGAGUUCGAUGUGCGUUUCGUUAGCUCCUUUUCGAAUUUGUCCCGGUUUUGAUUGAUACUUAUCCAAAUGUGAAGCUUUCUUGAGACUCUUGUUAAAUUGAAAAGUGUCAUCUUAAAAGUUAAAGGUCCAUAUCUAACCCCUUUUGUUUUUAUUUAAGGAACUUGCAUGUUUGUAUGAUUUUUUGUUAAGUUUUGAUGGUGUGGUGACGUUAUGAUUCAUGCUUAAAAUUGUUGAGGUUCAAUAUUCUGUCUUAGUAAAUGUUAUGAGAUCUGGCUGUUCAACUUAGCUUUAUUUAGGCCAUGUAUUGUAGAGUAAUUCAAUCCAAGUCUUUGCCGCCUACAAGGUGUUUGAGUUUUUGCUCAUUUGAGUUACGUCAUUAUUAUGUUCAAAUUCAUUCUUUAUUUUAGAUUUUUUACCUUGUCCACUUUAUCAAAAUGUAAUGCCUUUAUUAGUACAAGUUAUGAAUUCAAACAUGGUUACAGAGGAUCUGCCUAGUAGACGAUUUUGUGGCUAUUAUGAGUUAGAUUAUUGCUCAGCGUUUGAGAGUUUGAAGUAUUCUUCAAAUUGAAAUUUGAGGUUGUGCAUGUGGCAAAAGAGGAAAGAAUAAUAGGAGAUAAAUAUUUUGCUUUGUUUGAUUGGAUUCAUUGGGAUUAUUUAAUGAACAUGAAUAGUUGAAUCGUAUGGAAUUUUUCUUCAGAAUGAAAGAGGAUUUUCCUAGUGAGUUUUGAUAAGUUUAUGUUAAUCUUCGAGGUUUGGAUAGAGUAGAAUACUAGAUAUAAUCGUUAGAUUGGUGUACUAGUUAGUUUUGAUAAUAUGAAUGGUAUGUUGUAAACAUCUCCAAAUGUGAAUAGCUUGUUAAUACUCCAAAUAGCUAAAAUAUUUUUGACUUCCCACAGCCCAAUGUCCAUAAACUUUUAGCCUUACAAUAAUCUCGAACUUAGAAAGAAUAAUCAUAAACAUCGCUAGCAUGUUGUUAGGCGCGUAUAAUAAUAAAUCAUCAAGUUAUGAGUACGAUUUUCGUGACAUAACUGUGAUACUUUAUCCCAAAUUCAAGUGCGCACUCGCGUGCCUUGAUCCUUAACUUCAAAUAAAUAAUAAUGAAUGUGUUGUAAAUUAUUGGUACGUUCGCGUGGCAUGAUUUGCAAUACGUGCAAAGCAACAAGUGCACGACAUCUUGACUUGUUCAAAAUAAACUUCAUGACUACUUAAAAUACAUGGUUAAAAGUUGUAAUGCAUAAAAGGCUCUAAGAAUGUAAUAAUCCGGAUAAAAUAAGCCAAGUGUAAAUUGUUAAGCGGUCGUGCUAAAACCACGGAACUCGGGAAUGCCUUACACUUUCUCCCGGGUUAACAGAAUUUCUUAGACUCAAGUUAGCAUCCCAACUACAACACUUGUAUGAGUCCAAUUUAUUUCUGUCAUGUUAAGUAGGUAUCUUCGUAUGUUUUAUUUAUGUCCAUAUAAGUAAUUAGCUGUCCGGUUUAGUUUCCGGUUCAAGUUUCAAAAGAACAUCACUCCUUUCCUCUGUAACGCCGCCUGCUUCUGGCUUCUCUUUGAACGGCGAAAUGUUGGGGGAAGGAUGAGUGUAAUGUUUAGAGGUAGAAGCAUUUUGGUCCGUCUUUCACGGCGAUCUACGCUCCUCCAGAAAAGAACACUUUGUGGCAACGACAAGCAAAUCACCCUCGGCAACAAUAACAACAGCAAGGUCAGUAGUAAUAGUGCCGAGGAAGUUAACAACUCUGUUUCUUUAAGUCGUCACGAUGCCUAUAAACAGUUGGAGAACCUGGACUUUAUGACUGCUGCCAAGAUGCUUUUUACGGACCCGCCCAAGAAGACGAAAUUCGGGGUUGAUUUUCAUCUGGUACAAUUCUUUUUUGCCUGCUUGCCUUCACUUGCUGUAUAUUUGGUGGCUCAGUAUUCUCGCUAUGAAAUGAGAAGAAUGGAAGCGGAAGCCGAAUUGAAAAAGAAAGCUGAAGAAGAAGCAAAAGCAAAAGAGCUGGAAUUGAUGGCUGAGGAGGAAAAACAAGCGACUGAUCCACAGCUUUCUGAGGUGAAAGCAAGACUAGAUAAGCUGGAGGAGACCAUAAAAGAAAUUGUGGUCGAUUCCAAGAAACAAUCAAGUGAUGUUGCCGAAAGAUCAGUCAGCAAUGCUGUCAAGAAAGGACCUGGAACAACCGAGCCAGGAACUCCUGAUGCUAAGGAAAAGACAACUCCCUCUAGUGAUGGAAAAACUCAACCAAGAACAUCUUUGCCUGAUCAAAAGCAAAUAAAAAAUGAAGGUUCCUCCCCUGACGCGAAGAAAUGAAUUCCUUAGCAUAUAUUAUUUCGCAUAGUCAAGCUUUUUGAAGAGUUCGAAGUGCAUAGCUUUGCAGAACAGGGAAAAGCCACUGCUUUAAAGUGCUGUUGCUUCAUUUUUCUCAAAUCAAUGUGAAUUAGAAGACAUUUGGAAGAUGUAACAUUUGCUAAGGAUUAUUGCUGCCAUUUUAAUGGAGGUUUUCAUUAGCAGAAAAGCUUAGUUUUGGAGCAUCAGACAUUUGACAAUAUCAUUGUUUUUUUAAGAAUCUGGGUACACGGGAAUGUAUAAUUACUACUAUUUAGAAAUAACAGUUAGAUGAGACGAACACCAGGACGAACACUGGUAAAAUGAAAAUUACAAAUAUUUGUCAUGGGCAUUUCUGUAUUUUACUCUUCGAUUCAGCCCUUUCAUUCUCUUCAAUUUCCUGACACGUAGUUGGUCUUUAAAUUUUGGUGGGGACACCUUUCUUUCAUUUCCAUUGUUCCUACAUCCUUUUGCUGUCAUUUUUAAGCAUUUCUAAUUUUGCUCUUGAUGUUCCUGCUUUCCUUCUUCUUCUUCUCUGGAUUUUCCCUAUUUUUUUAUUUUUUUUGCUGUUCUUUUUUCCUUUUGGCUCUUGGAAAACUUCGAGCUCCAGUCCACGGUUCUUUCUCUAUAUGUAUUUUGGCUGUUGCAUGUAAGUAACUUUUUUUAUUUUAAUGACAAUUUGAGAUUUUAAUGUAAGAUUUGAAAUUGGGUUUUACGAAUUCAAUUUGACCAAAUAACUGAAAGGCACAUAGGGUUUUCUGGAGUGCAAGAGAAAACAGGUAAAGGCUCCAAAGAACCUGCUUCAUAGUGAUAUGUGGCGGCUCAGAUUAAGAGUUUGUCGGAGUUAAAAAGGUAGAUUGUGGGGGUGCAUGUGUAUCGUCUUUUAUAAUCGAGUUUCCCAUAGGUAUCGUACUCCAGGAAAGAACAGAAAAGCCAGGUUUGGCAUCAAAGGGUUCAAUAGAAGUUCCAAGAGUGGUAGUUUUCCUCGGGUAACUACUGAAGUGAUCAUUUGGUGGUGCCUCAUCUUUCUAGGAUGUCAUUGUCUAGCAGAAUUGGAUGUCACACUGAUAGUAAUUUUUGGGUUGUUCUUGUGGAGGAAAUUCGCCUUGUGAAUCCUUAGAGCCAAGAUCGAAUUCUUACUGUUGCUGAAUAUUGCUG